UGAGCAAUCUGCCCUUCUCUUCGGAAUAAGCGUGGGAAACUGGGUCUAAUGCCGAAUACGACCUCCUUUCGCAUGAUCGGAGGUGGAAAGCUCCGGCGGAGAAGGAUGAGCUCGCGGCCUAUCAGCUAGUUGGUGUGGGUAAUGGCCCACCAAGGCGACGACGGGUAGCCGGCCUGAGAGGGUGACCCGGCCACACGUGGGACUGAGACACGGCCCAGACCUCCGUACGGGAGNAGCG
rnacentral:rRNA from 1 species